rnacentral:rRNA from 1 species
CAGCCGCCGCGGUAAUACGUAGGGUGCAAGCGUUAAUCGGAAUUACUGGGCGUAAAGCGUGCGCAGGCGGUUAUAUAAGACAGAUGUGAAAUCCCCGGGCUCAACCUGGGAACUGCAUUUGUGACUGUAUAGCUAGAGUACGGCAGAGGGGGAUGGAAUUCCGCGUGUAGCAGUGAAAUGCGUAGAUAUGCGGAGGAACACCGAUGGCGAAGGCAAUCCCCUGGGCCUGUACUGACGCUCAUGCACGAAAGCGUGGGGAGCAAACAGGAUUAGAUACCCCUGUAGUCCCGUCUCUUAUACA